CAGCCGCCACGGGAAUACGAAGGGGGCUAGCGUUGCUCGGAAUGACUGGGCGUAAAGGGCGCGUAGGCGGUUUGUCGAGUUAGAUGUGCAAUUCCCGGGCUUAACCUGGGGACUGCAUUUGAUACUGGCAGGCUUGAGUGUGGAAGAGGGUCGUGGAAUUCCCAGUGUAGAGGUGAAAUUCGUAGAUAUUGGGAAGAACACCGGUGGCGAAGGCGGCGACCUGGUCCACAACUGACGCUGAGGCGCGAAAGCGUGGGGAGCAAACAGGAUUAGAUACCCCCGUAGUCCCUGUCUCUUAUAC
rnacentral:rRNA from 1 species